rnacentral:rRNA from 1 species
GAUGAACGCUGGCGGCGUGCCUAAUACAUGCAAGUCGAGCGAACAGACGAGGAGCUUGCUCCUCUGACGUUAGCGGCGGACGGGUGAGUAACACGUGGAUAACCUACCUAUAAGACUGGGAUAACUUCGGGAAACCGGAGCUAAGACCGGAUAAUAUAUUGAACCGCAUGGUUCAAUAGUGAAAGACGGUUUUGCUGUCACGUAUAGAUGGAUCCGCGCCGCAUUAGCUAGUUGGUAAGGUAAGGGCUUACCAAGGCGACGAUGCGUAGCCGACCUGAGAGGGUGAUCGCCCCCACUGGAACUGAGACACGGUCCAGACUCCUACGGGAGGCAGCAGUAGGGAAUCUUCCGCAAUGGGCGAAAGCCUGACGGAGCAACGCCGCGUGAGUGAUGAAGGUCUUCGGAUCGUAAAACUCUGUUAUUAGGGAAGAACAAAUGUGUAAGUAACUAUGCACGUCUUGACGGUACCUAAUCAGAAAGCCACGGCUAACUACGUG